rnacentral:rRNA from 1 species
CAAUAGCGUAUAUUUAAGUUGUUGCAGUUAAAAAGCUCGUAGUUGGAUUUCGGGUAGGAUUUGCCGGUCCGUCUUUGAGAUGUGUACUGGUAAGUCCUAUCUUCUUGUCGGGGACCAGCUCCUGGGCUUCACUGUCCGGGACUGGGAGCCGACGAAGUUACUUUGAGUAAAUUAGAGUGUUCAAAGCAAGCCUACGCUCUGAAUAUAUUAGCAUGGAAUAACACGAUAGGACUCUGGCUUAUCUUGUUGGUCUGUGAGACCAGAGUAAUGAUUAAGAGGGACAGUCGGGGACAUUCGUAUUUCAUUGUCAGAGGUGAAAUUCUUGGAUUUACGGAAGACGAACAUCUGCGAAAGCAUUUGCCAAGGAUGUUUUCAUUGA